CCCCUAGAUGUUCUGGGCCGCACGCGCGCUACACUGAACAGUUCAACAAGUCUUAACCUUGGCCGAUAGGUCUGGGUAAUCUUUGAACGCUGUUCGUGAUUGGGAUAGACCUUUGCAAUUAUGGGUCUUCAACGAGGAAUUACUAGUAAACGCAAGUCAUCAGCUUGCAUUGAUUACGUCCCUGCCCUUUGUACACACCGCCCGUCGCACCUACCGAUUGAAUGGUCCGGUGAAAUCUCGGGACGGCGGCUUGGUCGCUUGCGUCCGACUGCUGAAACUUGAUUAAACCAUAUCAUUUAGAGGAAGGUGAAGUCGUANCA
rnacentral:rRNA from 1 species